rnacentral:misc_RNA from 1 species
GUUUCAUUGAUAAAAGGCUUAUACAAUCAUUAGCCCAUCAAAAAAGACUCAGUCCACAAAGCAACAUAAAGAUUAAAAAUCAAAUACAACUCAAGGCCUAAAAAAGAAACCCUACUAUGCGUAACCCAGAUGAAAAAGGGCAGACCCACUUCUUCAAGUUGCAGUGUAGGAGGAAAUGGUUAUCAUAGGAAGCAUUGGAGUGGAGAUCUUUUACACGAAAUGGCAAAGCCUAAUGAGGUCCUAGUAGAAACACCACCCUAUCGUCAGCUCCACAAAGCAACGUAAAGAUUAAAAACCAAAUACAAGUCAAGGCCCAAAAAAGGAAACCCUACUCUAAAUGGGUAACCCGAAAGAAAAAGGUCAAACCCACUUCUUCAAGUUGCAGUGCCGCCUGAAGGAGGAAAUUGUUAUCAUAGGAAGCAUUAGAGUGGAGAUCUUUAGCCAGAGGAUACAAAACGGCAAAGCCUGAUGAGGUCCUAGUUCGUCAUCUCUACAAAGCAGCAAGACCAAACAA